UACGGAGGUGGCAAGCGUUAUCCGGAUUUCACUGGGUUUAAAGGGUGGCGUAGGUGGGAAUGUAAGUCGAGUGGUGAAAUCUCCGUGCUUAAACACGGAAACUGCCAUUGAUACUAUGUUUCUUUGAAUUUUCUGGAGGUUAGCGGAAGUAUGAUCGAUGUGAAGCGGGUUGAAAAUGCUUAGAUAUGAACAUAGAAACACCAA
rnacentral:rRNA from 1 species